rnacentral:rRNA from 1 species
UGGGGAAUAUUGCACAAUGGGCGCAAGCCUGAUGCAGCCAUGCCGCGUGUAUGAAGAAGGCCUUCGGGUUGUAAAGUACUUUCAGUCGGGAGGAAGGUGUCAAGGUUAAUAACCUUGGCAAUUGACGUUACCGACAGAAGAAGCACCGACUAACUCCGUGCCAGCAGCCGCGGUAAUACGGAGGGUGCAAGCGUUAAUCGGAAUUACUGGGCGUAAAGCGCACGCAGGCGGUUGAUUGAGUCAGAUGUGAAAUCCCCGGGCUUAACCCGGGAAUUGCAUCUGAUACUGGUCAGCUAGAGUCUUGUAGAGGGGGGUAGAAUUCCAUGUGUAGCGGUGAAAUGCGUAGAGAUGUGGAGGAAUACCGGUGGCGAAGGCGGCCCCCUGGACAAAGACUGACGCUCAGGUGCGAAAGCGUGGGGAGCAAACAGG